AGUGCUAGGGGAGCUUUUGCUGAGAUUUACCGAUUUUUCUUUUUCGGAUAAACCCUCAUCACCUGAUUCGGUUAAUGCCGACGUAGGGAAGCAGCAUAUG
rnacentral:ncRNA from 1 species